GAAGUAUCCCUCCGUCCGGAAUUACUUGUCGCAUAAACGGAUAAAAAUGGAUGUAUCUAAAACUAAAAUACGUCUAGAUACAUCCAUUUCUCCGACAAGUAUUUCCGGACGGAGGGAGUAGUAC
rfam:Triticum aestivum genome assembly, contig: Triticum_aestivum_CS42_TGACv1_scaffold_404149_5BL